GAAGAAGCAGCAGCAGCAGCAGCAGCAGAAGCAGAAGAAGCAGAAGAAGAAGAAGAGAGGGAAAAAAACGUCUAAUCACUGCGCUACACCAGUGCCUUCAGUUAGAGAUAGCAAUUCCGCUCCGGUCCACGCCAGCUCAAGUGUUGCUGCAGCAUGCCGUCUACCUCAAGCACAAAUUAACAAGGAUUUGGAUGCAAGUUUUUCUACCCCAGUCAAGAUGUCCUCUUAAAGCAUUACAGACAUUACCAGGCGUGAUUCUAACCACUCCCGUGCCUGUCUACAGACUGCACCUGAACUUUCAAGACAACUGGUGCGUUAAAAUCCCACCUUUCAAGAGGACAUAAACAGUCUGGUAAACCUAAAGUGCAGGUCACAUUUUGUUGUGAAUUGUGUGACUGUAAGGUCCUCUGUGUGCCAGAAAAAUGCAUAGGCCAUCUCAGGGCUAAUUUGAAGCAGCAUGUGACUGUUUGUUGUCUAUUCAAAAACUGUGAAUUUACAAGUAAUGUCCUUCAGUAGUCAUGUAAGCCGGAAGUACAAAUCUUACAGUGUUAAUGAUUUUAGAUAAUCUGUAAUAUCGCCAACAACUCCAACUGAUCUACCAGAAGCAGAUGAAGAAUUGCCUGCAGAGUGCAAUGAUCCACAGGCUACUGUUGGUUGUUCUGAAAUAGAAAGCAGCAUGUACCUAAUGCCUUUGGACAAUUAUACAAUUGAACAUAAACUUGCAUCAUUGUUUCUUUACAUGCAAACUGUUUUGUGCAGAGUUCUACAGAAUUACUCGAGUGGAGCUGAAGAGGAUCUUCCUGUCAUCAUUGGAUGCACACUCAUCGCAGCUUAUUAAGCUGUACAGAUCACGCUGCGGAACACUUGGAAAAGAAAUGAGGAUCCUUCUAGACAACAUUGAUGAACAGACAACUGAUGUGCUUGCCCACAGAAAGUCUACAGCUCUAUGGGGUCUACCGUUCUUUGAUGCAGAAGCCGGACAGCUUUCUGAAGAAAUAUCUGACCCGGAGGAAUUUUGUGUCAAGGGAGUUGAACUUGGAAUACUCAGUUGUUGAAGAUGGCGUUGGGAUGGUCUGCUCAAGUCCAACAACAAUAAGCAUCGCGCUGGAUAUUGAGGAACGGAUUGUCCUGGAGGAUGUAUGCGACUUCCCAACCGCAUUUGCCCUUUUGUUUGGGCUCAUCUAGGCUCUUAACCUGGACUAUCCGAAGGACUUACGGUACACAUUUUUGAAGUAAUUCAAAAGUUGUUCAUGAACCUUGAUACCCAGUGCUCUACCCGGGUUCAGGCCUUAAAGAACAGUUUGCUGAAGUAGCCUGCCAUAUCUAAACCACGCCUAUGGUCUUGGCUGGAUUUUCAUGAGGGACUGAAAUGUCACCAACUUGACCAAAUGCCGAUGGUAUGAGUUGACCAAAUUGGUCAACACCCUUAAGUAUUAGAUGUUUAACAAGUUUAUUAUUUGCCUUACUACUUUGAAUAUUACAGCUGAAAUAUCCACUGCUGGUCCUGCACUUUAGGUGUAUUAUAAUUUAAUAUUAAUUUUAGUUUAUUGUUGUUACUGCCACAUAGCGCCAUGCAGACGCAUUUAUUUUUGUUUUGACCGAGUAUUAGGAGGGAACUUUAGUCCGUGUCUUUGGGUUUAAAAUGGCGUGAAGUAGAGAUUAUAAGGAUGUUGACCCCUGCUGUCUACUGUUCAAGUGUUGAAAUUGAAAGACAAUAUUGUUUUGCAAGCAAAUAACUUAUUGUUAUUAAACAUUUUGUGUUUUAAGAUGUUUUUCUUUUAUUUAACAGUGUACAUUUCUAAUUAAUUAAAAAUGAAGGCUGUAAAAAAGAAAAGUUGAGUAUACUUAAAAAGGUUAAGUAACCAGCUGCACAGCUUUUUUGAGUAUACUCAACAUAA